GAAGUGCGAUAAGUAAUGCGAAUUGCAGAACCGUGAGUCAUCAGAUCUUUGAACGCUACUGGCGCCGAUUGGACAUCCAGUCGGCAUGCUUGUUACAGUGUCUUGUUUUCUCCUCAACAAAAUCUUAAUGCGAGAGAUACCCUUCUCUUGUUAAAUAAGAAAGCACUCUGAGCCCUGCAGGUGAUUUGGCUUCGGCCAAGGUCACACUCAAUGCAGCGAUCACAUUGCUCACAAUGUGAACUCAUUGAGAGCAUAGUCAGCGCAGCCUGUCUGCACGUGCUUCGAGCAUUAAACUCUACUUGUAUCCGAAAUCUAGCAGGACCACCCGCUGAACUUAA
rnacentral:misc_RNA from 1 species